rnacentral:rRNA from 1 species
CCUACGGGGGGCUGCAGUGAGGAAUAGUGGUCAAUGGCCGGGAGGCUGAACCAGCCAAGUCGCGUGAGGGAAGACGGCCCUACGGGUUGUAAACCUCUUUUGUCAGGGAGCAAGGUGCAGGUCGGGACCGGCUGUGAGAGUACCUGAAGAAAAAGCAUCGGCUAACUCCGUGCCAGCAGCCGCGGUAAUACGGAGGAUGCGAGCGUUAUCCGGAUUUCUUGGGGUUAAAGGGUGCGCAGGCGGAGGCACAAGUCAGCGGUAAAAUCGCGGGGCUCAACCCCGCUCCGCCGUUGAAACUGUGUCCCUUGCGUGCGCGACGGGUAGGCGGCAUGCGUGGUGUAGCGGUGACAUGCAUAGAUAUCACGCAGAACUCCGAUCGCGAAGGCAGCCUACCGGCGCGCAACUGACGCUCAUGCACGAACGCGUGGGUAUCGAACAGGAUUAGAUACCCGAGUAGUC